AGGAGGAGGCAAGGAUCAAGCACAAAACUAUGGAGACUGUACAGCAGCUGACCAGAGAUCUCACAGAGUCAUAACAGUGGUCUUUUUAGCAUUACUGAUUGAUCUAUUAGGAUUCACAUUGAUCCUUCCGCUCUUCCCAUCUAUACUGGAACACUACAGCAAGACAAAUGACAACCUUUAUCAGACAUUGCAACAGACAGUUGAUUGGUUUGCUUCAUCUGUGGGCGUGCCUCCGGAGAGAAAAUAUAACAGCGUAUUGUUUGGAGGACUGAUUGGCUCCAUCUUCUCCCUACUGCAGUUUAUUAGUUCUCCGCUCACAGGCGCAGCCUCUGAUUACAUAGGAAGAAGGAGAGCGCUCAUGAUAACAGUG